UAGGAGGGUCAUGCGUAUGUGAAAAGCACCAUAUCCCACCUGAUCUUGGAAGUUAAGCAAGCUGAGUCAUAGCCAGUACUUGGAUGGGAGACCACCAAGGAAUCUCAGGUGCUGUGGACU
rnacentral:rRNA from 1 species